rnacentral:rRNA from 1 species
UACGAACCUUGCUAACGUUAUUCGGAAUUACUGGGCUUAAAGGGUGCGUAGGCGGUGCAGAAAGUUGGGUGUGAAAGCCCUCGGCUCAACCGAGGAAUUGCGCCCAAAACUGCUGCACUAGAGGAAGACAGAGGUACGCGGAACUUAGGGUGGAGCGGUGAAAUGCGUUGAUAUCGCUUGGAACGCCGAAGGUGAAAACAGGUCGCUGGGGAUGUGCCGACGCUGAGACACGAAAGCCAGGGGAGCAAACGGG